rnacentral:rRNA from 1 species
UAGGGAAUCUUCCGCAAUGGGCGAAAGCCUGACGGAGCAACGCCGCGUGAGUGAUGAAGGUCUUCGGAUCGUAAAACUCUGUUUUUAGGGAAAAAAAAAUGUGUAAGUAACUAUGCACGUCUUGACGGUACCUAAUCAGAAAGCCACGGCUAACUACGUGCCAGCAGCCGCGGUAAUACGUAGGUGGCAAGCGUUAUCCGGAAUUAUUGGGCGUAAAGCGCGCGUAGGCGGUUUUUUAAGUCAGAUGUGAAAGCCCACGGCUCAACCGGGGAGGGUCAUUGGAAACAAGAAAUCUUGAGUGCAGGAGAGGAAAGUGGAAUUCCAUGUAUAGCGGUGAAAUGCACAGAGGUAUGGGGGAACACCAGUGGCGAAGGCGACUUUCUGGUCUGUAACUGACGCUGAUGUGCGAAAGCGUGGGGAUCAAACAGG